CUUUAGAAUUUUACUAUAUNNNNNNNNNNNNNNNNNNNNNNNNNNNNNNAUAUAAUAAUUAUUAUGUGUAUCUGUGCAAAUGCUUCUGGUUCUGCCACAUACCAUAGUCUCUACUUUUGUGGCUAGGCUUUUAAAUUCCGGAGUUUGAGGGUCUUUCAGUGCUGGAACAAACACCUCUAUAAUGACAAUCUGUAUGGCAACAGUUGGCUGAGGACGUGCUGGUGCUGCUGUUGUGGUUGCUGCUGUUGUUAUUGUGGUUGUUGUUGCUGUUGUUUUAGGAUUGGCAGUAGAUGUUGUUGUUGUUGUUGUUUUUGUUGUUGUUGUUGUUGUUGUGGUUGUGGGUGUUGUUGUUACAGUUGUAUUAGGUUUGGCAGUAGAUGUUGUGGUUGUUGUUGUGGUUGCUGUUGAUGCUGUUGUAUUAGGAUUGACAGUAGAUGUUGUGGUUGCUGGUGUUGUUGUUGUUGUUGCUGUUGUAUUAGGAUUGGCAGUAGAUGUUGUGGUUGCUGUUGUUGUUGUUGUUGCUGUUGUAUUAGGAUUGGCAGUAGAUGUUGUGGUUGCUGUUGAUGCUGUUGUAUUAGGCUUGGCAGUAGAUGUUGUGGUUGCUGUUGUUGUUGUUGUUGCUGUUGUAUUAGGAUUGGCAAUAGAUGUUGUGGUCGCUGGUGAUGCUGUUGUAUUAGGAUUGACAGUAGAUGUUGUGGUUGCUGUUGAUGCUGUUGUAUUAGGAUUGGCAGUAGAUGUGGUGGUUGUUGUUGUUGCUGUUGUAUUAGGAUUGACAAUAGAUGUUGUGGUCGCUGGUGAUGCUGUUGUAUUAGGAUUGACAGUAGAUGUUGUGGUUGCUGUUGAUGCUGUUGUAUUAAGAUUGGCAGUAGAUGUUGUGGUGGUGGUUGUUGUUGUUGCUGUUGUAUUAGGAUUGGCAGUAGAUGUUGUGGUUGUUGUUGAUGCUGUUGUAUUAGGAUUGGCAGUAGAUGUUGUGGUUGUUGUUGUUGCUGUUGUUGUAAUAGGAUUGGCAGUAGAUGUUGUGGUUGCUGUUGAUGCUGUUGUAUUAAGAUUGGCAGUAGAUGUUGUGGUUGUUGUUGCUAUUGUAAUAGGAUUGACAGUAGAUGUUGUGGUUGCUGUUGAUGCUGUUGUAUUUGGAUUGACAGUAGAUGUUGUGGUUGCUGGUGAUGCUGUUGUAUUAGGAUUGACAAUAGAUGUUGUGGAUGCUGUUGAUAUUGUUGUAUUCUGA
ensembl:lncRNA